rnacentral:rRNA from 1 species
GGACUACAGGGGUAUCUAAUCCCGUUCGCUCCCCUAGCUUUCGCGCCUCAGCGUCAGUUAAGGUCCAGCGCGCCGCUUUCGCCACCGGAGUUCCUGAUGAUAUCAACACAUUUCACCGCUCCACCAUCAGUUCCGCACGCCCCUACCUCACUCAAGAUGACCAGUAUCAGAGGCAGUUCUCCGGUUGAGCCGGAGGAUUUCACCCCUGACUUGAUCGCCCGCCUACGCGCCCUUUAAGCCCAGUGAUUCCGAACAACGUUCGCACGGUUCGUCUUACCGCGGCUGCUGGCAC